rnacentral:rRNA from 1 species
GAUGAACGCUGGCGGCGUGCCUAAUACAUGCAAGUCGAGCGAACAGACGAGGAGCUUGCUCCUCUGACGUUAGCGGCGGACGGGUGAGUAACACGUGGAUAACCUACCUAUAAGACUUGGAUAACUUCGGGAAACCGGAGCUAAUACCGGAUAAUAUAUUGAACCGCAUGGUUCAAUAGUGAAAGACGGUUUUGCUGUCACUUAUAGAUGGAUCCGCGCCGCAUUAGCUAGUUGGUAAGGUAACGGCUUACCAAGGCAACGAUGCGUAGCCGACCUGAGAGGGUGAUCGGCCACACUGGAACUGAGACACGGUCCAGACUCCUACGGGAGGCCGCAGUAGGGAAUCUUCCGCAAUGGGCGAAAGCCUGACGGAGCAACGCCGCGUGAGUGAUGAAGGUCUUCGGAUCGUAAAACUCUGUUAUUAGGGAAGAACAAAUGUGUAAGUAACUAUGCACGUCUUGACGGUACCUAAUCAGAAAGCCACGGCUAACUACGUG